GAUGAACGCUGGCGGCGUGCCUAAUACAUGCAAGUCGAGCGAACGGACGAGAAGCUUGCUUUUCUGAUGUUAGCGGCGGACGGGUGAGUAACACGUGGAUAACCUACCUAUAAGACUGGGAUAACUUCGGGAAACCGGAGCUAAUACCGGAUAAUAUUUUGAACCGCAUGGUUCAAAAGUGAAAGACGGUCUUGCUGUCACUUAUAGAUGGAUCCGCGCUGCAUUAGCUAGUUGGUAAGGUAACGGCUUACCAAGGCAACGAUGCAUAGCCGACCUGAGAGGGUGAUCGGCCACACUGGAACUGAGACACGGUCCAGACUCCUACGGGAGGCAGCAGUAGGGAAUCUUCCGCAAUGGGCGAAAGCCUGACGGAGCAACGCCGCGUGAGUGAUGAAGGUCUUCGGAUCGUAAAACUCUGUUAUUAGGGAAGAGCAUAUGUGUAAGUAACUGUGCACAUCUUGACGGUACCUAAUCAGAAAGCCACGGCUAACCACGUG
rnacentral:rRNA from 1 species